UUUCGGGCUCGGGCAGGCUGUCGGCCUCGGUCGGACGGCAGGCUCGGGCCUUUCUGCCUGGGGACUCCGUCACACUUAACUGUGGGGCGGUUGGACGCAGGCCGUUUACUUUGAAAAAAUUAGAGUGUUCAAAGCAGGCCUACGCUUGAAUACAUUAGCAUGGAAUAAUGGAAUAGGACUUUGGUGCUAUUUUGUUGGUUUAUGGGACCGAAGUAAUGAUUAACAGGGACAGUUGGGGCCGUUUAUAUUUCGUUGUCAGAGGUGAAAUUCUUGGAUUUACGAAAGAUAAACUUCUGCGAAAGCAUUCGGCAAGGAUGUUUUCAUUGAUCAAGAACGAAAGUUAGGGGAUCGAAGACGAUCAGAUACCGUCGUAGUCUUAACCAUAAACUAUGCCGACUAGGGAUCAGUGGAUGUCAAUUUGCGACUCCAUUGGCACCUUGUGAGAAAUCAAAGUUUUUGGGUUCCGGGGGGAGUAUGGUCGCAAGGCUGAAACUUAAAGGAAUUGACGGAAGGGCACCACCAGGAGUGGAGCCUGCGGCUUAAUUUGACUCAACACGGGGAAACUUACCAGGUCCAGACAUAGUAAGGAUUGACAGAUUGAAAGCUCUUUCUUGAUUCUAUG
rnacentral:rRNA from 1 species